GACGAACGCUGGCGGCGUGCUUAACACAUGCAAGUCGAGCGGUAAGGCCCUUUCGGGGGUACGACGAGCGGCGAACGGGUGAGUAACACGUGGGUGACCUGCCCUUAGCUCUGGGAUAAGCCUGGGAAACUGGGUCUAAUACCGGAUAUGACUCCAUGACGCAUGUUGUGGGGUGGGAAAGCCUUGUGCGGCUAGGGAUGGGCCCGCGGCCUAUCAGCUUGUUGGUGGGGUGAUGGCCUACCAAGGCGACGACGGGUAGCCGGCCUGAGAGGGCGACCGG
rnacentral:rRNA from 1 species